AUCUUGUGCAAUAAACGAAAGUAUGACACAGAGAGGACACAUUUAAUUGAGCCCGUCAAAUUAAGUGCCAGCCGACGCGGUUAAACUUAAGGGCUGGUCUUUAUAAGUAAAAAGGCGUAAAGGAUGUGUAGGCCAAGAAACGACCCAAGAAGGUAAAUGGAAUUUUUCUGGAGCGGUAGAAUGUGAGGAUAGAAAAUAGAACCCCUAAGGUUAAAACUAUUUACCACAAGGUAGGCUGAAACAUGAGUGUGUGGGGAGCAAACAGGAUUAGAGACCCUGGUAGUCCACACUGUGAACUUUGAAGAUGAUGCUUAGCAGACCCGAAAGGUAAAAUCUUCCGCCUGAGUAGUACGAUCGCAAGAUUAAAAUUCAAAAACUUUGGCUGUUCACUAUUUCGAUUAGAGGAGCGUGUAGUUUAAUUCGAUGGUCCGCGUGUUACCUUACCCCAACUUGAAUCUGUGACCGGUAUUGCAUGGCCGUCGUAAGUUCGUGUAUUAAGCUAGAAGGGACCCAACCCGGGCAUUUGCCCGGAGGAAGUCAGGUCUUAUGAUCCGAAUGUUGGGGGAUUUUAUGCGCUACAUUUUCUUAUAUAAUGGGAGACCUGGAAGGUGAGCCUCUAAAGUAAGAGUUCGGAAGGUCGCUGUAAGACGACUGGAAGUUGGAUUUAAUAGUAAUCGGAAAGUAGGGCGUUCCGGUGAAUUGGUACAAGUGUUAGCACAAAUUGCCCGUCGCCUUUACCUAGAAUGGUUA
rnacentral:rRNA from 1 species